rnacentral:lncRNA from 10 species
AACUGUUGGGAUUACAGGCAUGAGUCACUGCACCUGACCAAGCAUAUAUUAUACACUUUUGAAAAAAAGUGCAUAUAUCAAAGAUAUAGUUGUAUAUAUCCAUGAGACAGAGAAGUGUGGUCUAGUAUACAGACACAUAGAAAUACGUAUUUAGGAGACAAACAAAUAGUCUUUGUAUGAAUAAGAAUAUGUUGUCUACGGUGCAUUUAGAACGUGAACAGUUGUGAACUCAGGAAAGAGUUCUAAAAGACCCGGAUAGAAGUCAGUUUGAGGCAGAAGCAGUAGAGGAGACUGAGAAGGAAAGGAGAAAAUGAGAAUUAGAAGACUGGAGUGCACGGAAGUUGAUAAUGCAGAUUGUUUUAAGAAAAAAAGGAGAGUUCAAUUUUGUCAAAUGCUGUUGAUACGAUCCUUUGGAUUUAGUAACAUGAAGACUAUUGGUGAACCCAGGGACAGCUAUUCCCAUGCAAGAGUGAAGAAAGAAUAGAUAAUGCUCAUUCAUCCUUUCAUUAUUUUGAUAAAUAUUAAUUGGGCUUUUUGAGGACCACAGUUAAAGCAACGAACAGACAAAUAAGAUUUCUUCUUGACCAAAAGUUACAUUAUAGCCAAGAGAGAUAAACAAUAGAAAAUUAAAAUAAAAAGACAUGGUGACUUCUGACAAUGAAAAAUAUAAUGGGGAGAACAAGGCAAAUAAUAGAUAAAGUUGUUAGUGGGAGAGCUAAGUGAGAUGGGGUGAUCUGGUCAUGUUGAAGAUCUCUGCUGCAGCUCUCUGAUGAGGUUCCUCGAAAACUUGCACUGCAACUAGGACUUCCUAAAAAGGCCUGCUUACCGGGGAUCUGUGCUAGAGAUGGUAUCCUUGACUCCUAUUGUUGUCUCCAGAUGCUUUGAUAGUGCUAGCUUGCUGACAACAUAGAUGCCUGUGUGCAUCUCUUCUAUUGAACACCUGAGCUGUAGCUCUUCUCCAGGCGCUAAAGCAGCAAUGAUUUCUCUUGAGCCCUAAAUGCUUUGAGACAAAGAUGGCUAACUAGAGACACUGGACACCAGUUCUCCUCAGAAAGAAGGACCAAAAUUACAUAUAGAUAAUCACAUCUUGAAUAGGCUAUCAAGGAGGGUUUACUAGAACCCAAUAGAGAACUCCUGGGAAAACAACAACAACAAAAAAAAACUGAGGCACAGAAAAGGAAGAAAGCAAGAGGCCAACGUGGCUAGCAUAGAUCAGCUGGGAGUCACAAGGGACUUGGUGUUGUGUGGAAAAGAGUAUAAUAUGGAAAGGGAGGAAGAAAGAUUAGUUUUACAAUGGAGGAACCUAUCAAACUCUGCCUCAGCCAGUUAAUCAAGAUUAACAUCAACAGUGCUGAGUCAAAUUGAAGACGGUGCCGCUUUCCUUCGGUGUCCACUGUACAAAAUGCUACCUACUUUGGGAUGCAGCGUCUCUUGAUGAAGCAACCUCCCUGCCAAAAAAUUCAGAAUAUGGAUCAGUACAGGGUCAUUUUGAAUUCCCUUAGGCUGCAAGAAACAUAUCCAGCUUGGAAUCAACUGGAGACAGAUGCCUUAUUUCCUAGCACCAGAAUUUCCUGUGUAGAAUAUUUUCUACAGUUCUGGAAGUGAUAGCUUGUGGGCAUUUCUGUUUAAUCACUUUAUCUCCAAAAUUGUGUGAACAAUAUCAGCUUAACGUGAGCCUUUCUGACACUAGAGAAACUAAACAUGUGAAAAUAGAGCUAAUUCUCUUUUUAACUAUCUGGGAGUAAUUCUUCACAAAAGCCUGGACUGCUUUUUUGAAGUUUCUCCAAGCUUCUCUCCAGUCCUAUUACACCAAAGAUUAGGCCUGCAGCCUAAUGGAAACAAAGCAACAGGAUCCUGUCAAUAUCUACUACGACAAUAUAAGAAGAAUUACACCCAGAGCCACAUUUUGCUUCAAGUCUUUUCAUUUAAAACAUGUAUAGCAUUAAACUCUUGGGUAAUAAUGGGUAGCUAGAAGCAUUAGUCUUAAGCUCAUUAGGGAUAUGCACAUUUGGGAAACCAAUAUAUACCCUCUUUUGUGAUUGAAAAGGAAGAGUUUUUCUCCAAAAGUUACCAAAUAAUACUACCAAGAAACACAUGAAUCUGGUAUCAUUUUAAAAACUUUCCAAGUAUGCCUCCAUAUAUUACUUUUGCAACUUAAAAAAGACUGUAAACCAUCUUGGCAAAGAAGAAUAAAGUGAUCUGAAUCACUCUAGCUGAUGUUAAGGCUUAUUGUGUAGCAAAAAGUAACCAAGACAGUGCAUGAUGGCAGAGAGAUAGACAUGUAUGUCCAUGGAACAGAAUAGAGAACUCAUAAAUAGAAAAUUUCUGGGGUGUAAGGCGGCAAAGAGUUCUUCCCUUGACAUCAAAAAUACAUGCCAUGAGAGAAAAAAAUUGAUAAACUGAACUUCCUCAAAAUUAAAAGAUUUGCUUUGCAGAGAUUCUGUUAGGAAGAUGAAAAGACAAGCCACAGAUUGGGAGACCUGCAUCCACAUAUCGGACAAGGAACUGAAACCUGGAAUAUAUGGAGAAGAAUACGUGACACCCUUCCAGAAAAUGGCACUUCUCCAUCCAAACUUGCUUCUUUUGGAGCUACCAUUGUACAAGCUGAAGGAUAAAGUGGAAAGGAAGCAUCCCAGCUUUUCUCCAUAUUAAAAGAACUAAAUUAGUAGACAAGCUAGGUCAAUGGCAGUUUUAGAAAAUGAUAUUUUGUGGCACUCUAAAUACUUACAUUACAUAAACAGAGUAAUGACGUAUGGUACUCUGUCAGUACUAUGCACAAGUUGAAACUAAAAUUAAUUUCCUACAAAACUAUUUUAAAGUGGCAUAUUUAUACACAAACAGAAGAGCAAUGCAAAGCCCCUAGCAAGUGGGCAAAGAUUCAGGGUUCAAUCAUAAUCCAAAAGAGAACUGUUAAACCAAAGCUGUUUAACCCGUAAGAACAAAGUAGUGAGAACCAUGUUGAAAGGCCAGUCCAGUGUGAUUAUGACAAAACUGAAAAAGAGAAAAUUGUAAUUUUGCAAAUACAAUUUAGUUUUGUUUAGGAUAGGAAUUCCAAAGGAUACUCCUGAAUUGAGUUUAGGAUCCAAGGUCUAAAGGACAGAAAGGAAGCAGUAAAACUCUAAACAAACAUUAAAAAAAAAAAAAAGCCAGAAGUCAUAGUGUUGGGUCACUGAAUCCCAGAGCAGUGAAAGAAGGCAUUAGAGAACUCACAUUUAUGGAGGAGCUAAAACAUGCCUCACACUAUACACUUGCCAUCAUACUAAAACCUAAAAUAACUUAUGAGAUUAGUAAUUUAUAUUUCCAUUUUGCAGACAAUGAAAUUGAGAUUAAAGGAGUAAUUAACAGUCCCAAGAUUAUAAGUCUCAAAACAGGUGUUGCCUAGCUCUUCCUCUGCAUUGUAACAACAAAAUGCUAAUGUAAAUGAAUUAGACCUUAAUAUGGCUUCAAUUUGUAUCGUGAGCCACAAGAAACCUUAAUAUUCAUUAUUUUUUCUUUCUUUAAACUGAAGCUUUGAACUGAGCUAAAUUUGAUAUGCCCAUUCCUUCUUGUCAGAUAGGGAGACUAAUCCUUAGAAAAACCCAACGGCUUUUUUGAAGACACACAUGGUAGGAUGGAUUUUUUACUCUGUGCAAGGGUCUGUCAGGUUCCAAGUGAAGUGCUCCUCCUAUGACACAGAGACAACCUGUUGCUAUAGCAGCUCUAUUAGCAUUAUUUUAUAAUCCUCAAAUCACUAUAAUCCUGAGUAUGGUAUUAUCUGCUCUAGUCCCAUUUCCAGAGUCAGUCCUAACAGAGCUGCUGUAGCAAUGGCUGGUCUCUGUGCCCAUUAUCAUUUGCAGGCAUGCUAGUGAGUUUGCAAACAAGUGCUGCCUCUACUGGCUGAGAUCAUGAGCAAAUUACAUAGUCUUUACCGUGUUGCCCUUCCCUCAUAUAUAAACAAUGAGGAAUAAUAGUGCCACAGGAUCCACCCCUUAAGUUUCAGUAAAAAAAAAAAAAAAAGCACUGGAAUAUAUAUAUAUAUAUAUAUAUAUAUAUAUAUAUAUAUAUAUACACAUACACACACACAUAUAUAUACAUCUAUAUAUAGUGCUCAAUAAUAUAUAUGAUUAGUAAUAGUAGCAAUAUUAAUAGUAGUAAUGAUUACUCAUAAAGUAAGAAAGUAUUAGGAAUGUAUAAGAAAAGAUAGAAAAUAAGGUAGGGAGGAUGGCCAAAAUAUUCUAUUUUAAUCUGUUUUAUUUUGAAAUGUUCUGCCUGAGUGGAUUAACAAAAAAUGGCAUUUCCACUGUUGCCUUUCAUAGCAGUGAUAUAUAUCAAGGCUUUUAUAUACUGACAAUAGAAACUAAGGCUAAAAUUGAUAUUUAUGUUGAUAUUAUAAAUGCUUAAAAAUAAAUAUAAAGUAUUAUAAUUUGCAUUUUGUUC